GCCCGAAUGGCUCAGUGGUUGAGCAUCUGCCUUUGGCUCAGGUCAUGAUCCCAGGGUCCGGGGAUCGAAUCCCACAUCGGGCU
rnacentral:tRNA from 1 species